CCCGAACUUCGUGCUCAGGGCACUGCCUAUGGGGCCUGGGGAAGGGGAAAGGGUUCUGUGAGGACUCAGGCGUCCUUCCCUAGUAGCCUCCACACCCCUUCUCCUUCCCCUUUCGGUUCCUGUAUCCCCUUUCUCUUUCGAGGGUGAGGGUCACAGGACACCGGAUCAGGCGCAGCACUCACUACCAAACUGCUGCACCGCGAUUCCAAUGGAGGCGAUCCAGGAGACGCGCGCUGCCUGCUCCUCAAACGCCGCCACAAACUCCACGAAGAAGACUCCGAAGGAGCGAAGCACCCCGAACACCAGUGCCGACUGGAAGAAGGCUGAGAGCACCACCAUCCAUCCCCAGCCCCCAUCGGGGGGCUCGGCCCCGCGAGCCAUCUGGGAAACCUUGGGUCACAGAGACCAAAAAUAACUGAAGAGAGGAAGGGCGGCUGUAAAGUCACAUAGGGCUCCACCAACACCACCUACCCCUUCCUCAGUGGGGCUGGAACCUUUUCUUCUGCCUUCUAGUAACAGCCAUGUCCUAAUCAUAUUUUUUGAACUCAAGGUGGGAUAAAGAGAAGUUAUGACCCCGGCAACUGGAGCAAUCAGCUUUUCUUACCCCACCAGUACUCAGGCCCCCUGUGAGCACCCCCUAGUCCUCCCCAGACUCCACAGCAUUAACGUCUUGGACUUCAGUUCCUUCAUUGUAACUCAAGCUCUGGAGGACCCCCGACCUGGGUUCCCUGGGCUCAAAGAGUUCAUACCCAGCAGGAUAUGGUGGCACAGGCCUGUAAUCUCAGCCAUUCUGGAGGCUGAAGCAGGAGGAUUAGGAGAUCCAAGCCAGCCUCAGCAAUUUAGCCCUAAGCAGCACACCUGAAUUAAACCCCCAGUACAAACAAACAAACAAAUAACAACAACAACAACAAAAACCCACCUAGACUAGUGGGGAAAAGAAGCAAACAGGCAAAGAAGAAGAGGGGAAUGAGGUGGGGAGACUGUGUAGCUUUUGAUUUCACAUAUGGAAAAUAAUCAUACCAGAAUUCUUA